GAUGAACGCUGGCGGCGUGCCUAAUACAUGCAAGUCGAGCGAACGGACGAGAAGCUUGCUUCUCUGAUGUUAGCGGCGGACGGGUGAGUAACACGUGGAUAACCUACCUAUAAGACUGGGAUAACUUCGGGAAACCGGAGCUAAUACCGGAUAAUAUUUUGAACCGCAUGGUUCAAAAGUGAAAGACGGUCUUGCUGUCACUUAUAGAUGGAUCCGCGCGGCAUUAGCUAGUUGGUAAGGUAACGGCUUACCAAGGCAACGAUGCAUAGCCGACCUGAGAGGGUGAUCGGCCACACUGGAACUGAGACACGGUCCAGACUCCUACGGGAGGCAGCAGUAGGGAAUCUUCCGCAAUGGGCGAAAGCCUGACGGAGCAACGCCGCGUGAGUGAUGAAGGUCUUCGGAUCUUAAAACUCUGUUAUUAGGGAAGAACAUAUGUGUAAGUAACUGUGCACAUCUUGACGGUACCUAAUCAGAAAGCCACGGCUAACUACGUG
rnacentral:rRNA from 1 species